rnacentral:rRNA from 1 species
CCUACGGGUGGCUGCAGUGGGGAAUAUUGGACAAUGGGGGGAACCCUGAUCCAGCCAUGCCGCGUGUGUGAAGAAGGCCCUCGGGUUGUAAAGCACUUUCAGUGAGGAAGAACGCCUGGUGGUUAAUACCCAUCAGGAAAGACAUCACUCACAGAAGAAGCACCGGCUAACUCCGUGCCAGCAGCCGCGGUAAUACGGAGGGUGCGAGCGUUAAUCGGAAUUACUGGGCGUAAAGCGCGCGUAGGUGGCUUGAUAAGCCGGUUGUGAAAGCCCCGGGCUCAACCUGGGAACGGCAUCCGGAACUGUCAAGCUAGAGUGCAGGAGAGGAAGGUAGAAUUCCCGGUGUAGCGGUGAAAUGCGUAGAGAUCGGGAGGAAUACCAGUGGCGAAGGCGGCCUUCUGGACUGACACUGACACUGAGGUGCGAAAGCGUGGGUAGCAAACAGGAUUAGAUACCCCUGGUAGUC